GAUGAACGCUGGCGGCGUGCCUAAUACAUGCAAGUCGAGCGAACAGAUAAGGAGCUUGCUCCUUUGACGUUAGCGGCGGACGGGUGAGUAACACGUGGGUAACCUACCUAUAAGACUGGGAUAACUUCGGGAAACCGGAGCUAAUACCGGAUAACAUUUGGAACCGCAUGGUUCUAAAGUGAAAGAUGGUUUUGCUAUCACUUAUAGAUGGACCCGCGCCGUAUUAGCUAGUUGGUAAGGUAACGGCUUACCAAGGCAACGAUACGUAGCCGACCUGAGAGGGUGAUCUGCCACACUUUAACUGAGGCACGGUCCAGGCUCCUACGGGAGGCGGCAGUAGGGAAUCUUCCGCAAUGGGCGGAAGCCUGACGGAGCAACGCCGCGUGAGUGAUGAAGGGUUUCGGCGCGUAAAACUCUGUUAUUAGGGAAGAACAAACUUGUAAGUAACUGUGCACGUCUUGACGGUACCUAAUCAGAAAGCCACGGCUAACUACGUG
rnacentral:rRNA from 1 species